UACGUAGGGUGCGAGCGUUAAUCGGAAUUACUGGGCGUAAAGCGUGCGCAGGCGGUUCGUUGUGUCGGUGGUGAAAGCCCCGGGCUUAACCUGGGAAUGGCCAUGGAAACUGGCGAACUGGAGUGUGGCAGAGGGGGGUGGAAUUCCGCGUGUAGCAGUGAAAUGCGUAGAGAUGCGGAGGAGCACCGAUGGCGAAGGCAGCCCCCUGGGCUAGCACUGACGCCUCAGGCACGAAAGCGUGGGGGAGCAAACAGGG
rnacentral:rRNA from 1 species